AUGUUGUUCAAUUGAGCUGUUUUGAUACUGAAGGUCAAAAUUUCUUCACUGAAGGCUGUAUGAAGGUAUUUUGAAAAGAAAUCAACAUUGUACGGGGUGAGGGGGUCGACAAUUUUCGAAGCGGCAGUGAUAUUUUGGUAAGGUAGUUUUAGACUUGCUUGCUAAGGAUUGUAGUUGAAUAAAUGAAACUAAUGGCGUGAGGCAUUUCUCGUAACGACCAAAUUGCAGAGAUUUGAUGGAGACAGCCUUUGCUCAUGUGGCCAUAUCUCAGCCAGUUCGUAAUACAUUCAGCUAAUUUGGCAUAUUAAGAGGAAUUUUAAAACGAAUCCUUCGUUUUAUGGGCAAAGAUAAAGAAUCCCAAUAGCAUUUGUGACGCCAUCCUUUUGCCUAGCAAUAAGUUGAAAAAUUCACAGAAUAAUUAGUACCAGAAGGUAGGAUUGACACUGUAUGGUAAAAAAAAUUGGUCGUAGUCUUGUCAUAAAAGAAGCUUUCCUCUUAAUAUUUCCACUUCUUCUUUAAAACGCGUGUUCAGAAUCGCCUCCAUUGAAAGAAAGAAUCAUUUGAGAGGGUUUAAGAUUCAGUUAGGGGAUGCAAAUUUUUUUCCCCUUGUUUUUUAGAGAAUAAACAGGGUAGCGUCAUCUCCUUGGCCGAGUUAGAAAAUGAAGACUUUACCCUUAGUGAGGAAGACCUAGCAACGACUUCUCAUGAUACUGUAUGGCAAAUUUCCGAGAUGAAGUGGUUAUUAGCAAACCCUACAGUACAGUAUUUAACUAAUUCAUUGAGUGAAGAUCUGCGCGUCUUAACGCGUGGAAAUGUGUAGGAUUUGCACCUGACGGAUUUUCUUAAAUGAGUAAGAAAAACAGAUUUGCUCGUUUUUAAUACGUUUGUAAUUAAAUCGUUAAACGGAAUAAACAAAUCAUGGAAAAAUCGUACAUUUUUGCUGUAAUUAGAUUAAAUUAAGCUGGAUUUGGUAACAAAUGAGGUGGAAAUUCCAUUUUAAAGUUUAUUUCUUUCGAAAUAACUCCUACUCAAAAAUGUACUCCUUCUUGCUAGGUGUAUAAAAAGGACAACUUUGUGGCAAGAAAUGAAAAAGUAUCUGACGGUCUGCAGUCGAAUACAAGCACAAGAAAUCUCGUAAAAAUACGUUUUGUGUUGACGAGUUCGAAAAUAGCGAGAUGGCUGGAUGUCACAAGUUACUUACCUGCCUUGUUAUAAUGGCAAUCGCAGCUUUAGUUACUGACGUUGAAGGAAUUUCGUGGGGCGGAGAUUCAAUGUGGAAAGGCAAAAGAGAAUUGUCACCGAACAAAAGUGAAGCAAUGGAAUCUAUCAAACUCCACCACGAGUUCUGCUUGAAAUGUCAUCGAUACAGCAAGCCGUGCAGUUACCUAAGAAUUCUAUCAAAGAUCAGAUCUUCUAAUGAUGGAAAUGACAACUGAACCGGACUAGUCUGAUUUUCUUCAACAUUUAAAACUAAUCAACGAUUUAUGAUUAACUCAUCAAAUGAUUCGAUGAUUCCUGAAAAUAAAUUA